rnacentral:rRNA from 1 species
UACAUGUGGGGCAAGCGUUGUUCGGAAUUACUGGGCAUAAAGGGUGCGUAGGCGGCUUGUUAAGUCAGUGGUGAAAUCUCCGGGCUCAACCCGGAAACUGCCAUUGAUACUAUCAGUCUUGAAUAUUGUUGAGGUGGGCGGAAUAUGUCAUGUAGCGGUGAAAUGCAUAGAGAUGACAUAGAACACCGAUUGCGAAGGCAGCUCACUAAACAUGUAUUGACGCUGAGGCACGAAAGCGUGGGGAUCAAACAGG